GCAUGAAGGUGCUGAGUCAUUCAGUCAUUAAACUGUAAGUCAUUCAGUCAUUACACCGUAAACACCUGUACUGCUUUGUGCAGAAGUAUAAAGGUCAGUAAGGGUUGAACACUGCUUUUAAGGAUUUCAGUGGAUUCAGGGGAGGGAAGGUUUUUUUCUUGACAAGAGUUUCUUCAUGGAGGCUCCAUUUGUUGGUUUACAUAUGUCCUCGCUUCAUUCGGAAAAAGAAUUUGAGUUGGAUCAGAAAAAGAAAUUAAGUAUUUCACAAAGGGUUGGAGUGUGAUAGGGUAGGAGGGAAACUCCACGAUGAAGGAAUAACAUGAAGGCAGUAGGUAGAAGGCCGUAUUCCUCACAAUGGUUUCUGAUAGGGUCUUUUAAAAUUGGCACCGGAGGAGAAUAUUUAACAGGAAAAGAGAGUCUAAAGUGAGGAGACGCCUGAAGACAAAGGCUAUAUAUCCAAUAUGUCUGGAAACCUCAUUGGCUUUACCUUCAAAAUAUAUUCAGAAUUCAGGAAGUUCCUCAGGCAAAAAGGAAUAUGAGACCAACCAUAAACCUGGAUCUACAUCAAGAAAUGAAGAGUAUGGGAAAUGGAGUAAAACAAGUGAAACCCAACGUUCUCUAAAUAACAGUGUAAAAACUGAAUUAUAAGUCCGCAACUAAAAAUUCAGAAACUGAAAAAAAUAUAUACAAAUGGAGUAUCACUUUUCAAAAGUAAAUGAAAAGUAACUUUGCUAUUAUCAGAAGACUGAUGAGGGACUUCCCUGGUGGUGCAGUGGUUAAGAAUCCUCCUGCCAAUGCAGGGGACACGAGUUCGAUCCCUGGUCCAGGAAGAUCCUAAUGCCUUGGAGCAACUAAACCCGGGCGCCACAACUACUGAGACUGCACUCCAGAGCCCCUGAGCCACAGCUACUGAGCCCGUGCACCACAACUACUGAAGCCCGCGUGCCUAGAGCCCGUGCUCCGCAACAAGAGAAGCCACCGCAGUGAGAAGCCCGUGCACCGCAACAAAGAGUAGCCCCCGCUCGCCGCAACUAGAGAAAGCCCGUGCACAGCAACAAAGACGCAACGCAGCCAAAAAAAAAAAAAAAGUUACUUCCGGCCAAGGAGGCAUUAAUUAGAAGACUGAUGAAAUCUAGAAUAUUUUUAAAUGAACAGUUCUUAGGCUUUAAAAGAAAACCUUUAUUACUGUUAUACUUAUAGCCAUAUAAUUGCCCUAUGAAUACAUUCAUGGAAUGAAUUAUGGUACCUGCUGUGAUCUAUAAAGCAAGACAUAAAGUGUGGCAAGACGUACUUAACUUUGCUGAUGGAAUGCCAAUUCCCCUACCCCCAACAGUAAUACGCUUGAUUAGAAUGGCUUAUUAACCAUAGAUCAGAAAGCUAACAUGUACAGCAACUAAACAGUGUACUAGAUUAAAUAGUGAAUUAAUAUCCAUUAAUAUCCA